UCUUAGAAUUUUGAGUAUGAAUUAUUAAAUUUCUUGGCACGUGAAUUGGUAAGCAAGCUCUGUUUGUAUGUGGAUCUCGACAAUGGACGUAUCCAAACAUGCCCUAAAAUCUAACAAAUUAGGAACCAUCCGAACCUCAAAAGAACCCGACCCGAAUCGGACUCAACCCGUCUCGGUCACCUUCUACCUUCACCAGCUCACCCCCAACGCAGCCGAACUCGUCAAUAUCGCAGCGAAGCAACGAAUCCCCAAAAAGCGAUCGCGAUCGCCAUGGCCGGAGACGAGGUCGGCGUCAAGCUCGUCCGCUUCCUCUACUUCGUCGGCGCCGGAGUGAUUUGCACCAAAGCGAUCAAUCUCUGGAGGGACUACGAGCGGAACAGGAGAUCGCCGCCGCCGCUGCUGAGAUGGGCGAGUCACCGCCGACGCCGCAGGAAUUGGUGGGCGGCGGACCCGCCGCGGCGAAAUCUUAAGUCCCGGCUAGGGUUUCUCUCUGUAUCUAAAAAGUUUUGAAAUUUGCGCCGAAACCGUGUAGUUUAUGAUGAAAAGAUCACAGCUUUAGUACGAUUUUUCAACUUCAGGGGUUGCGAUUGAUUGCUACAGUUUUCAUAAGGUAUAUGAUGCUAUUUGUUCAUCCUUUUUGGUUAUGAUCAGUGGAUAUUUUCAUGUUCUUUACAUAAAUUUUUCUUCAACUUGAUACAAA